rnacentral:rRNA from 1 species
ACGAACGCUGGCGGCAUGCCUAACACAUGCAAGUCGAACGAGACCUUCGGGUCUAGUGGCGCACGGGUGCGUAACGCGUGGGAACCUGCCCUUAGGUUCGGAAUAACUCCCCGAAAGGGGUGCUAAUACCGGAUAAUGUCUUCGGACCAAAGAUUUAUCGCCUUUGGAUGGGCCCGCGUUGGAUUAGCUAGUUGGUAGGGUAAAAGCCUACCAAGGCGACGAUCCAUAGCUGGUGUGAGAGGAUGAUCAGCCACACUGGGACUGAGACACGGCCCAGACUCCUACGGGAGGCAGCAGUGGGGAAUAUUGGACAAUGGGCGAAAGCCUGAUCCAGCAAUGCCGCGUGAGUGAUGAAGGCCUUAGGGUUGUAAAGCUCUUUUACCCGGGAUGAUAAUGACAGUACCGGGAGAAUAAGCUCCGGCUAACUCCGUG